rnacentral:rRNA from 1 species
AAACCGGAGGAAGUGGGGAUGACGUCAAGUCCUCAUGGCCUUUAUGUCUAGGGCUACACACGUACUACAAUGGCCGGUACAAAGGGCAGCCACUCAGCGAUGAGGCGCUAAUCCCAUAAAGCCGGUCUCAGUCCGGAUCGCAGUCUGCAACUCGACUGCGUGAAGUUGGAAUCGCUAGUAAUCGUAGAUCAGCAUGCUACGGUGAAUACGUUCCCGGGCCUU